rnacentral:rRNA from 1 species
AUUGAACGCUGGCGGCAUGCUUUACACAUGCAAGUCGAACGGUAACAGGCCGCAAGGUGCUGACGAGUGGCGAACGGGUGAGUAAUGCAUCGGAACGUGCCCAGUCGUGGGGGAUAACGCAGCGAAAGCUGCGCUAAUACCGCAUACGAUCUCUGGAUGAAAGCGGGGGACCGAAAGGCCUCGCGCGAUUGGAGCGGCCGAUGUCAGAUUAGGUAGUUGGUGGGGUAAAGGCUCACCAAGCCAACGAUCUGUAGCUGGUCUGAGAGGACGACCAGCCACACUGGGACUGAGACACGGCCCAGACUCCUACGGGAGGCAGCAGUGGGGAAUUUUGGACAAUGGGCGCAAGCCUGAUCCAGCAAUGCCGCGUGCAGGAAGAAGGCCUUCGGGUUGUAAACUGCUUUUGUACGGAACGAAACGGUCCUGGUUAAUACCUGGGGCUAAUGACGGUACCGUAAGAAUAAGCACCGGCUAACUACGUGCCAGCCGCCGCGGUAACAC